AGAUUGAUACAGAAUUAGGAUUAGGUAAUAAAUACAUAAUAGCAAUGAGAAAGAGAACAUUGUUUUGAAUACCUUGCCAUUGUAAUCAUAUGCUCAUUAUGUUUGAAUUUCAAAUAAAACUCUGCAAUAAUUUAUUCGGCCCAAUUUUUAUGACUGAGUGAGUUUCAUUCACCAUUUUUAGUCCAUAGCCCGUAUGAAAUCAGC
rnacentral:lncRNA from 1 species